UACAGAGGUCUCAAGCGUUGUUCGGAUUCAUUGGGCGUAAAGGGCGUGUAGGCGGCCAGGUAGGUCUGCUGUGAAAACUCGAGGCUCAACCUCGAGACGUCGGCGGAAACCAUCUGGCUAGAGUCCGGAAGAGGAGAGUGGAAUUCCUGGUGUAGCGGUGAAAUGCGCAGAUAUCAGGAAGAACACCCGUGGCGAAGGCGGCUCUCUGGGACGGUACUGACGCUGAGACGCGAAAGCGUGGGGAGCGAACAGG
rnacentral:rRNA from 1 species